GUCCACGCCGUAAACGAUGGUUACUGGCCCUAUGCAAUAUAUCGUAUGGGGCUGAGCGAAAGCAUUAAGUAACCCACCUGGGGAGUACGGCCGCAAGGCUGAAACUCAAAGGAAUUGACGGGGGGCCCCGCACAAGCGGAGGAACAUGUGGUUUAAUUCGAUGAUACGCGAGUAACCUUACCCGGGCUUGAAAUGCGCAGGACGUAGGUAGAGAUAUCUAUUCACUUUUAGUGUCUGCGUGUAGGUGCUGCAUGGUUGUCGU
rnacentral:rRNA from 1 species